GGGGAUGUGGUCUAGUGGUAUGAUUCUCGCUUAGCAACUCUGCUAUCAAAUGUGAGCGGUCCCGAGUUCAAUUCUUGGCGUCUCCA